GCACCCGUAGCUCAGCUGGAUAGAGCAUCAGCUUGCGGAGCUGGAGGUCAGAGGUUCGAAUCCUCUCGGGUGCA
rnacentral:tRNA from 1 species